rnacentral:rRNA from 1 species
GACGAACGCUGGCGGCGUGCUUAACACAUGCAAGUCGAACGGAAAGGCCUCUUUCGGGGGGUACUCGAGUGGCGAACGGGUGAGUAACACGUGAGUAACCUGCCCUUGACUUUGGGAUAACUUCAGGAAACUGGGGCUAAUACCGGAUAGGAGCUCCUGCUGCAUGGUGGGGGUUGGAAAGUUUCGGCGGUUGGGGAUGGACUCGCGGCUUAUCAGCUUGUUGGUGGGGUAGUGGCUUACCAAGGCUUUGACGGGUAGCCGGCCUGAGAGGGUGACCGGCCACAUUGGGACUGAGAUACGGCCCAGACUCCUACGGGAGGCAGCAGUGGGGAAUAUUGCACAAUGGGUGGAAGCCUGAUGCAGCAACGCCGUGUGCGGGAUGACGGCCUUCGGGUUGAAACCGCUUUCGCUCAUGACGAAGCUUUGUGUGACGGUAGUGGGUAAAGAAGCACCGGCUAACUACGUG